rnacentral:rRNA from 1 species
CCUACGGGCGGCAGCAGUGAGGAAUAUUGCACAAUGGGCGAAACCCUGAACCAGCCAAGCCGCGUGAAGGAAGAAGGAUCUAUGUAUUGUAAACUCCAUUUGUAGGGGAGAAAAUGCCGCUACGUGUCUCAGUAUGCACGGCUAACUACGAGACAGCAGCCGCAGCAACCCGUCGGGGGCAAGCGUUAUCCGGAGUUAUCGGGUGUAAAGGGGGCGUAUGCGGUUUAGCAAGUCAGACGUGAAAGCGCGGGGUUCAACUACGGGAUUGCCUUUGAAACUGGUGAACUAGAGUGCAGGAGAGGUAAGUGGAAUGCAUGGUGUAGCGGUGAAAUGCGUAGAUAUCAGGAAGAACACCGAUGGCGAAGGCAGCUUACCGGACUACAAAUGACGCUGAGGCACGAAAGCGUGGGGAGCAAACAGGAUUAGAUACCCGGGUAGUC